AUUACCUAGAGACCUUGUUAAAAUGCAGAUUAUGAUUCAGCAGGUCUGGGGUAAGGCCUCAAACUCUGCAUUUCUAACAAGUUCCCAGGAGAUGCUGA
rnacentral:pre_miRNA from 1 species